rnacentral:misc_RNA from 1 species
UAUUAAUUCUUGCGCGCCCCCGAC